CGGCCGGCCCCGGCAGGGAGCGGGAUGCAGAGGGUAGCGGUGACCGGAGUUUGCGGCCCCCUGCGCGGGGGGGCCCGACCGGGGCCGGUCGUUUCCUGGCAGCCGGUUUGUCUCUUUCACGCUGGUCUCCGUGCAUUUGCGGCAGAUAAGGAGCUGCUGGUGAAGCUCAGGAAGAAAACCGGUUAUUCCUUCUUGAAUUGUAAGAAAGCCUUAGAGAAGUUCAGUGGCGACUCCAAACAGGCUGAAGCCUGGCUGCAUGAGCAGGCCCAAAAGGAGGGAUGGAGCAAAGCUUCCAAACUGCAGGGCAGGAAGACAAAAGAAGGCCUUAUCGGCCUGCUGCAGGAGGGGAACGCGGCAGUGAUGGUGGAGGUGAACUGCGAGACGGACUUUGUGGCCAGAAAUGUCAAAUUUCAACAGUUAGUUCAACAAGCAGCAACUGGGACAAUGUUCCACCAUCAAGGCGCUAAGGACCAUUUAACCACCUAUAUCAAGCGUUUCAUGAAGGCAGCUGAGCUUUCUCAACUGCGGACUGGGCCUGCUGGAUGUUUGCUCAGCGACCAGCUGGCUCUAGCUAUAGGUAAACUCGGGGAGAACAUGGCUAUCAAGAGGGCUGCCUGGGUGGCCGUGCCAGCGACCUACUACAUUGGCUCUUACGUCCAUGGGGCGCUGCCAGUGGAUAGUCCCUCCCUGUCUAAUGUGGCGCUUGGGAAGUAUGGUGCCUUAGUGAUCUGCCAAGCCUCUGAGCAGAGCCAGAAGUCAAAUCUUGCUGAUCUAGGCCGGAGGCUGGGUCAGCAUGUAGUGGGAAUGGCCCCUCUGUCGGUGGGAUCUCUGGAGGAUGAACCUGGCGGAGACACGGAAACCAAAAUGCUUGCUCAACCUUUCUUGCUGGACCCCAGCGUUACCCUGGGCCAGUACGUGCAGCCCCAAGGUGUGUCUGUGCUGGACUUUGUGCGGUUUGAGUGCGGAGAGGACACAGAGAUACCAGAAGUGGAAGAGACGCAGCAACGUCUCGCACAGGAAGAAAACUCUUCGUAAUCUCACGUCUGCGGCCGUGGGCCAGGCAUUUACAUAUCGGAUCAGUAAGGAAAUAAUUAUGAGACAGGAUCAAUAGUGAAUUAAUCUCACAUGUGCUGGACAUUUCAUACAGUGACCCAGGCGGGGAGGCUACAGGCAGAAGAUGUGCUAGAACUGGACCUUCUGCUGUUUGCAAACUAGCAUCACCUGCGUGCGGUGCUCCUCCGGAGAGGAGAUACCAGCAGGUACCGCUGUCCCGCCAGCAGCACUAAACGUUUGAGACAAUUGCUGACGUCUGGAAGCCGGAGCUAGUGGUACGUAGUAUUUUGUUUUCCAGCCUCCUGCGCUUGGCUGGCCGGGUGAAGCUGAACUGCAGCCCGCAUGCGUGGCUGCGCGGCCACAAAGGAAAUGACCGUAAAUGGGU